CACAGGGUUGUUGUAUGUCUUUUGGGCUGUGUGGCCAUGUUCCAGAAGUAUUAUCUCCUGAUGUUUCGCCCACAUCUAUGGCAGGCAUCCUCAGAUCCUCAACCUCUGUGAUCCCGGCCAUGAAAGCCUUCGACAACACAGAAAAUAUCAGGUCCAGCUGUCAAUGGUAAUGACAGGUGUGUCCAAUCAUUCAAACAAUUCCCCUUUCCUCCACUGAUGGCUCUUUUUGUCUCAAAGCAUAGAGAACUGCUGACACUACUCAGGCUGUAUAAAUGCAUACUUACAUCUAAGUAAGCUCUGCUGAAGUCUACAAGACUUAUUUUUGAGACUGAACCUCCAUUAGGAUAAGCUGCACAGGUGCUUUCCUUCUUCAAAAAACAGGUGAGACCUUUCAGAAUCGGAGCCAUCAUUUAUGAAAUGUCCUGCCAUGUGUAAUAUACCAGACUCUAUUUCAAAUUGAAUAUCCAGGUCAUCCACGGCAACUCUACUCAGUUCUGCAGGAUAUUGACCAUGGAAAGAAAACUACUCUGAGAACUUCAUCCCACACAGUAAAAUCAACAUUUUUACAUAUUUAAGAAACAGAAAGCUAUGGUACCCUUCACACGAUGCAAGCUUCAACUGUGAGGUUGAGACAUGGAAAGAAGAAACUGCUCCUACUUUCUUCAACUGAUGGAAGAGCAUUGGAUCUGAGAAAUAGUUCAACAGCCUGUCUUUUACCCUUUAAGGCUCUAGCAGCGUAACUCACCGGGAAAUAAAGAAGCAGUGACCCAAACAGGAUAGUCUCCAAGAGAAUGAGUCCUGAUGCUCUGAUGCUCUGGAACAAAAACAAAGAAAUGGCAAGGCUCAUAAUGAAAAAUCCUCAUGAAUCAUUACCAUGAACAAUUGAAGAGUUCGUUUUGAGAUAGGUAUGUUUCAUUUUGGACUAGGAUAUACCCUCCAACUGUCCCAAUUUGGCAAGGACAGUCCUGAUUAAUCCUCUGUCAUCCCUCUUUUUCAGUUGCUUUUGAAAUGGCCCAGUUCCUCACUCCUCUUUCCCUUUUAUGUUCAGCUUACUUCAAUUGCUCCAAAAAAUAGUUUGCACUGAAUUCAACACAGAGGAGAGGAAGGGGAGAAAUCGUUCCCGUCCCACUAGGCUCAGGCAAAAACAAACUGCUGAAGCAUCUCUUAGUGUGUGUGUUUGUCUUCGCUAAAAAAAUUUUUUGUCAUUUUGACCACCUUCUGAUGCUGUUUGCUUAUAUCUACCCCAUUUUCAUUUGUGAGGUACUGGUGGAUAGGAUGUUAUCCAGAAGCUAAAAGUUUAAAUUGAUUGCAACUCAAAACCUAAGGAAUUCUAUUUGAAGAAUAUUUGGGAUGGGUAGGUUCAUGUAAUCAUAAAAUCAUGGAGUUGGAAGAGACCACAAGGGCCUUCUAGUCCAACCUCAUGACAUGCAAGAACACACAAACAAAGCAUGUCUGACAGAUGGCCAUCCAGCCUCUGCUUAAAAACCUCUGGAGAAGGGGACUCCAGGACACUCCAUAUUCCACUGCCAAACAGCUCUUACUAUUAGGAAGUUUUUCCUAAUGUUUAGGUGGAAGCUCUUUCUUUGCAGUUUGAAUCCAUUCCUCCAUGCCUUAGUCUCCAGAACAGUAGAAAAUAAGCUUGCCCCCACUUCAAUAUGAGCAUCCUUUCAAAUAUUUAAACAUGGCAAUUAUGUCCCUUCUUGACCUUAUUUUCUUCGAGCUAAAUAUAUUCGGCUCCCUAAGCAGAUCUUCAUGGAGCUUGGAUUCCAGACCUUUGAUCAUUCUGAUGACUCUUCUCUGGACACAUUUCAGCUUGUCAAGAUCCACCUUGACUUGUGAUGCCCAGAACUGGACACAAUAUUAUUCCAGAUUCACAUACAAGUAGUACUGAAUUACAUUGUUCUCAACUUGAAAUCAAACUGAUUGUACAGAGAGCAACUGGGUGAAGCUGAAGGUAUUACAACCAAACUUCAACAAAAUAUAAUUGAACUUUAGCAGUACUGAAUGAUUUCAAGAAAGGAGGCUCAAUCCACUGGGAAUAUCUUCUCAACAAACCUCACUGAAAUGAAUGAUGCUUGCAGAAGCACACAGAUUCAAACUGUGCCUGAUUUCUCAUGGGGACAAACUAACUGGAGAACUAUAAGUAAAUUUUAAAUUUGCUUCAGGGAAGUCAUUAAAGUUUUUAGAUGGAUGCACUGCAUCAUAUUCAACAAAGCCAAAGCUAAAAAGAAGAAUACACUUGCUUGAAAGGUAUUGCAUUGCAAAUAUCCAUUGCCUUGAGCUAUUCUGGGAAACUACAAGCUUAAUUAAUAUUGAAUUUCUCUGUGUCAAUACACAAAAAUUAAAGGAUUUGAGAACCCAAAAUGUAUGCAGUAAUGAGGAAGGGGGAAAAUGAUGUUAAAUACAUUCAGGAAGACAGCAUUCUUUAGUAUCCGAUGAAGCUCCUCUUUUCAGGUUUAGGCCCUAGAGCAAUACUGAGGAAAUAAAAUUGUGUAAACUGCUGUGGGAAGAAUUAACACUGAGGGCACUUCCAGACAGGCCCAAAAUGCAGGACUUGUCUCGCUUUUAACUGAGGUAUCCAAAUAAAGCAAAUUAAAGUUAAACACAAAUUAAUGCAGAGGAAACUGGGUUUUCCCAAUUUCCUCCGCAUUAAUUUGACACCUGGAAAGAUCUGGACUUUAAGCUAAGAUCUGGAUCUUUCCAGGUGCUAGGCCUGUGGGGAUUGGCCCCUGGGACUGCUUUCAUAGUCCAGGGGGUCAG